rnacentral:rRNA from 1 species
UUUCGGGAUGCCGGCGAGUGGCGAACGGGUGAGUAAUACGUGGAAACCUAUCCCGAGGUGGGGGAUAACAGCUGGAAACGGCUGCUAAUACCGCAUAAGCCCUAAGGGGGAAAGAUUUAUCGCCUUGGGAGGGGUCCACGUCGGAUUAGCUAGUUGGUAGGGUAAAGGCCUACCAAGGCGACGAUCCGUAGCUGGUCUGAGAGGAUGGACAGCCACACUGGGACUGAGACACGGCCCAGACUCCUACGGGAGGCAGCAGUGGGGAAUAUUGCGCAAUGGGGGAAACCCUGACGCAGCGAUGCCGCGUGGGUGAAGAAGGCCUUCGGGUUGUAAAGCCCUUUCAGUGGGGAAGAUAGUGACGGUACCCACAGAAGAAGCUCCGGCUAACUCCGUGCCAGCAGCCGCGGUAAUACGGAGGGGGCGAGCGUUGUUCGGAAUUACUGGGCGUAAAGGGCGCGUAGGCGGUGCAGCAAG